rnacentral:rRNA from 1 species
AUUGAACGCUGGCGGAAUGCUUUACACAUGCAAGUCGAACGGCAGCACGGACUUCGGUCUGGUGGCGAGUGGCGAACGGGUGAGUAAUGUAUCGGAACGUGCCCAGUCGUGGGGGAUAACGUAGUGAAAAUUACGCUAAUACCGCAUACGAUCUAUGGAUGAAAGCGGGGGAUCGCAAGACCUCGCGCGAUUGGAGCGGCCGAUAUCAGAUUAGGUAGUUGGUGGGGUAAAGGCCCACCAAGCCAACGAUCUGUAGCUGGUCUGAGAGGACGACCAGCCACACUGGAACUGAGACACGGUCCAGACUCCUGCGGGAGGCAGCAGUGGGGAAUUUUGGACAAUGGGCGAAAGCCUGAUCCGGCCAUUCCGCGUGCAGGAUGAAGGCCCUCGGGUUGUAAACUGCUUUUGUACAGAACGAAAAGGUUUCUACUAAUACUAGGAGCUCAUGACGGUACUGUAAGAAUAAGCACCGGCUAACUACGUGCCAGCAGCCGCCGUAA